rnacentral:rRNA from 1 species
AGCAGCCGCGGUAAUUCCAGCUCCAAUAGCGUAUAUUAAAGUUGUUGCAGUUAAAAAGCUCGUAGUUGAACUUCGGGGUUUACCCAUUGGUCAGGCUUAAUUGUCUGUACUGGUGAGAUGAAUCUCUACCUUCUGAGGAACUUUCAUGCCAUUUAGUUGGUGUGAUAGGAAAUCAGGACUGUUACUUUGAAAAAAUUAGAGUGUUUAAAGCAGGCUAACGUCUGAAUACAUUAGCAUGGAAUAAUGAAAUAGGACGGAUUGGUUCUAUUUCGUUGGUUUCUAGGAUCACCGUAAUGAUUAAUAGGGAUAGUUGGGGGCAUUAGUAUUCAAUUGUCAGAGGUGAAAUUCUUGGAUUUAUUGAAGACUAACUAUUGCGAAAGCAUUUGCCAAGGAUGUUUUCAUUAAUCAAGAACGAAAGUUAGGGGAUCGAAGACGAUCAGAUACCGUCGUAGUCUUAACCAUAAACUAUGCCGACUAGGGAUCGGACGAAGUUAAUUUUAUAAUGACGCGUUCGGCACCU